AGGACGAACGCUGGCGGCGUGCUUAACACAUGCAAGUGGUGCGACGAACCAGGCUUCGGCCUGGGGCAAAGCCGCGAACGGGUGAGUAACACGUGGGUAACCUACCCCGAAGACCGGGACAACCCGGGGAAACCCGAGCUAAUACCGGAUGUGUCCACUUUCUUCAAGGAAGGUGAACAAAGGAAGCUUCGGCCUCCGCUUCGGGCGGGGCCCGCGGCCCAUUAGCUUGUUGGUGAGGUAACGGCUCACCAAGGCGACGAUGGGUAGCUGGUCUGAGAGGACGAUCAGCCACACUGGGACUGAGACACGGCCCAGACUCCUACGGGAGGCAGCAGUGGGGAAUCUUGCGCAAUGGGCGACAGCCUGACGCAGCAACGCCGCGUGGGGGAAGACGGCCUUCGGGUUGUAACCCCUUUCAGGAGGGACGAAGCUCCGGUAGCGAAUAGCUGUCCGGAGUGACGGUACCUCACGAAGAAGCCCCGGCUAACUACGUGCCAGCAGCCGC
rnacentral:rRNA from 1 species